CCUUGCCCUCCCCUGACUGGUUUUAUAGAUUAUACUAAACAUGGUGUUCUCAGUGCUUAGUUCCUCAAAUGGCUGUGUUCUCUGCAUGGGCAAGGACACGGUUAACUUGGGAGUUUUAUCCCAGUGAAAGUAUGUACUUGAAUAUCUGCGUGUUCUGUUUACUGUGAAAGAACAGUCAUAAAGAACGAAGGAAAUCUUGCCUUUGGCACAUAAAGCCUAUCCAAGGAGGCUGGAGCUAUGGAGGGAAAGCCAGAAGAGCAUUUGCAGACUGGCUGAGGCACUUUGCCAUCUUGCACCCACAGACACACCCAGGAUCAAUACUUUGCAUCCUUCAAUUGAAUCAAGUUGACAGUAUUAACCAUGACACAUGCCCAGAAAAGAGGAGAACUUUGCUGCUUUCCACCCACAGAGUGUGCGUAGGAUGUGCCCAGUGUCCCCAGCUCUGCACCAGCUGCUUCCCAAGAAGACCUGGCUGAGCUGCAAUGUCAGAGUCUGACACUGAUGGAGCUACAUUUCAGAAGUGAACAACUUAGAAGACGGUGUGCAUCCACUCUUCUUCCUCAUGGUCCUGUUCCAGGGCUGUGAAGCAAGCCAAUAGCCUUUGGAGAUGUAACCCCAGGGGCCAGUUAUAUAUCUGCAGGACAUGCUUUAUUCUGCAGUGGACAAAAUCUAUAUUGAGGGUCCCUUAGGUCUUUGUUGCUUACUGCAAUACAGUUUACAAAAAUCCUUGUAUCUUUGGGGGUAGGAGGUGCUUUCCCAGAUUAAUAAAAUUGUCUAUCUCUCUCUCUUUUUUUUUUUUUUGAGAACAGGCUCGCUCUGUUGCCCAGGCUGGAGUGCAGUGGCAUGGUCUUGGCUCACUGCAACCUCCACCUCCCAGGUUGAAGCAAUUCUCCUACCUCAGCCUCCUGAGUAGCUGGGACUAUAGGCACACAC
rnacentral:lncRNA from 1 species